UACGUAGGGUGCAAGCGUUAAUCGGAAUUACUGGGCGUAAAGCGUGCGCAGGCGGUGCGCCAAGCUCGAUGUGAAAGCCCCGGGCUUAACCUGGGAAUUGCAUUGAGGACUGGCGUGCUCGAGUGCGGCAGAGGGGGGUGGAAUUCCACGUGUAGCAGUGAAAUGCGUAGAGAUGUGGAGGAACACCGAUGGCGAAGGCAGCCCCCUGGGCCGACACUGACGCUCAUGCACGAAAGCGUGGGGAGCAAACAGG
rnacentral:rRNA from 1 species